rnacentral:rRNA from 1 species
CCUACGGGUGGCAGCAGUAGGGAAUAUUGCUCAAUGGGGGCAACCCUGAAGCAGCAACGCCGCGUGGAGGAUGAAGGUUUUAGGAUUGUAAACUCCUUUUGUUAGAGAAGAUUAUGACGGUAUCUAACGCAUAAGCACUGGCCAUAUCCGUGACAGCAGCCGCGGUAAUACGGCGGGGGCAAGCGUUACUCGGAAUCACUGGGCGUAAAGGGUGCGUAGGCGGGGUAAUAAGUCAGAUGUGAAAUCCUUAAGUUUAAAUACAGAACUGCAUUUGAAACUGUUACUCUGGAGUGUGGUAGAGGUAGGUGGAAUUCUUGGUGUAGGGGUAAAAUCCGUAGAGAUCACGAGGAAUACUCAUUGCGAAGGCGGCCUGCUGGAACAUUACUGACGCUGAUGCACGAAAGCGUGGGGAGCAAACAGGAUUAGAUACCCCUGUAGUC